AACUCCCCGUGUGUUUAGCAGACAGAAGACAGCCAGUGACCGCCAGCUGACCCAGAAAAAAACACUCGUUCCUAAGGGGUGAUUCAGAUUUUUGACCUUCUUUAAGCUGAAGGCCCAUUGGCAGAUAUGGAGAAUUAUGCCAAAUGACUGUCAACAGCUUGUUUGAAACUGAGCUGCUGACUCUCAUCUCUGUUGCUUCAACUGACUGGAGGAAUACAGUUAGCCACUGAGGCUUUGCUAUUGCCCUAGAGAGACAAAGCCACAAGUCCUUCCAAACCAAGAAGACCUAGAAAUGAGCUUUGCCUAAUAAUCUUUCUUCUGUUCUUGGAUAAGCCAGGGUCUUGGCUAUGACAUCCCUCCCCAGAACUAUGUCGCCAAGAGCUCCAGCUGAUGAGGUGCUCCUCUCCUACUUGAGAAAGCAACCAGUACAAUACAUCUGACGUCAUGCAAAGAAAAUUAAAGUGAAAAAAAAAUGCUUCAAUCUGCACUAAGAGUUCAUCAGUUCUCUCUCUGGAAGAGUCAGGAAUUCUGUAUGGUCUGGUGUCAAGCCACGUUAUGCCAGGCAAAGGACAGGAACUGAUUGCUGAUCCAUUGUCAUCCACCUUCUAGGAAUGAUUAUCUUUUUCAGGAUGCUUUUUUAAUAAGUCUGUCUUUAGCAGAGGCAGCAGGGUGAAUAGAAGGGCUGAAAAUGAGUCCAAGUGCUUCCUCUGACACGUACUGGCUGUGUGACUCUGGACAAGUCAUUUAAUCUGUCCACCCUCAGGACGACUCUCUGAGUAUAAAUUGAAAAGAAGUACCAGCCUGUAUUAAUAGAGGGAACUUCUUCAUUUGGAGUUCUCCAUACAAAUGAAACCACAAAUCUGGUGCUCAUUCCUAUCCCUCUUUUCAUCAUAGGAAUGACUAUUUUUAUUUAUUUACUUUUAGAUGGGGAGCGGAGUAGUUCAACUUCCACAGAUUCUCAAGGCCAGUGCCUAGAUCUGGCAUUACUGGCUUUCGACAUAUUUGGGAUGCAAAGAGGCUCAAUCCCAGGCUCCAGUAAGGUUAAUCUAAAGAUAACAGUGUUUAAUGUUUAUCUCUAAAACACUGUACAGUCUUUCUUUCCAUAUUUGGUCUUCAAAGCAGAGCUGUGGCUCUCUGACCUUAUAGGGUAAGCAAGGAGAUGUGGAUUAGGGUCAGAAAGGUAAGCAGCAUUACUUAAGAAAAACAGCAUGUUUCUGGUUCUAUGUCUUCUUGUCUUUCAUUUCUUCCUUGGAGGAUAUUAAGUGCACCAAAUAGUUGGGGUGUCUUCUGUCUUUCUCUGCCCUCUUCUACUCACAAGAUUUCUAGAGUAUUCUGUUUCCAUUGUCAGGGAAGGUGAAGGCUCCUCAGAUGAUCAUAUCUCCCUUGCGUCUCUCUGAACACUUUGAAGACUAGACAGCAGAACAAUGUUCUGUACGUAUUGUACUGGGCUCAAUUAAUACAUGUUUAAUUACUGUGCAGAUAGUGAAAUCAGAUUUUAUUAUAGCCUGCCAGGAACUGCUACUAUUCCCCAGGCCUAUGGGAACAUGAAUUGAGGAAUGAAUGAAAAAGCAUUUAUUAAGUGUUUGCUAUGUGCCAAAGGCCUGGGGAUGCAAAUAGAAAAAAAAAACCAAGACAGCCUUUACUCUCAGAGCUUACACACUAAUUGGGAUAGAUAAUACCUAAAAGAAAGUUCAUCUGCAGGGUGGCUGGAAAGGCACAGGGGUCCUUAGGUUGUGUCAUUAGGUCAGAUAGGGGAGAGGAGGGUCCUACAGGUAAGGCUUGAAGGCCUUAGGAGACAGAAACAGGGAUGAUGGCAAAGCUUGCUGGCCCUCCAUCUCCCUGAACAGACAAGUGAUAUGAGGACGUGGUGACUCCCACUUCAUCAAAGCCAUGUGAGCAGUUAAGUAACCCAGAUUGGGUUCUGGCACUGCCAGGGGUGGCGGGGGCAGGAGAGGAGGUGGGGAGCAGGGAGGCAAGAGGAUAAGGGCACCCCCAAUGGUGGCUGCUCCAUGUGUUUUAAAAUGGUGAGGAAAUGCUUCAUCUCCUUCUGGAUCAUUAUGCAUAUGGUGAUUAAGGGGACAUAUCUCACAGUCCUAUCAUUAUGUGGCAUGGCUGGGGACCAAUUGGGAGUCUUGGCUUGGCACACAGGGCACCAACCAAAGAGUUGUUUAGUCUAUGCUAACUAGGGACUAGAGAAGAAAACUCUCCUCAUCCUAUCACAUGGGAAUGAGGGAAACCGGAGGAUAUUUCUUUUCUGGUACAUCCAUAAACCAUUCAUGCUACCAAGGCACCACCACGUGAAACAUCUCUUUGUUACCCCAUGACAAAGCCUCCCAUUUUCAGAGCCAACAUUAAAUUGCUCGUGAAAAAUUAAGUGAUGCUCCUGGCCUCUAGUGCAGACCCCUUCUUUUCCCAUGGGAUGGCUGUCCAGCAUGGACAAUGGCAACUUGAGCCAGCCUGAGUUUCUAAGAGAGGACAUGCCCCUCUCUGAAAGUGGAAUGGUGCUCAGAAUGGCUCUUUGGCCUCCGUUCCCUCCUCCUCAAGGGCUGAAGAUGUGGACAACCUCACCCUUUCUAAACCUAGCUCCUCUGUGAAAGUCCAGGGUCAAAUAUAGUCAGCCACAUCUGAUACCAAUCACGACAUUCGCAAACCCUGAGGAAGGUCAGUCUUUUUGGAGUUGCAACCCCUUGAAUUUGAUUUGGUAACAAGCUUCUCUCCAUAAAAGUGUUGGAUUUAUGAUUUUAAUUUUUAAGGGAAUUAAAAUGAAUGUUGGGGCACUGUUUGACACAGCUGGAAAACUCUGCUGCAGAAGCAGGCCUGGUAAUCCCUGGCACAGUGGUUCCCCACCGCCACCCCCACUGCUACCCCCUUCAGCUUGGUUGAAUGCUAUAGGUUUUAUUUUCACAAUUGCAGUGCCCUUCCCUUCCCUGUUCUAUCAGUUGCUCCGUGGUGUUCUCGAAAAAGAUCGGUCUGAUAAAAUAUGUCAUUUAGGCCUCUCACCCCUACCCCCAUCUCAAAUUCCGAAGCUUAUGGUUUCUUUGAUGAUUUGUUACUGAUACUGUUUGGGAGCUCUUGUCAAUGUUUAUUACUCCUCUCUUGGAAUAAAACUAUGUUUAUGAAGUCCAAAUGAAAAA